UGGGGAAUUUUGGACAAUGGGCGCAAGCCUGAUCCAGCCAUGCCGCGUGUCUGAAGAAGGCCUUCGGGUUGUAAAGGACUUUUGUCAGGGAAGAAAAGGCUGUUGCUAAUACCGACAGCUGAUGACGGUACCUGAAGAAUAAGCACCGGCUAACUACGUGCCAGCAGCCGCGGUAAUACGUAGGGUGCGAGCGUUAAUCGGAAUUACUGGGCGUAAAGCGAGCGCAGACGGUUACUUAAGCAGGAUGUGAAAUCCCCGGGCUCAACCUGGGAACUGCGUUCUGAACUGGGUGACUAGAGUGUGUCAGAGGGAGGUAGAAUUCCACGUGUAGCAGUGAAAUGCGUAGAGAUGUGGAGGAAUACCGAUGGCGAAGGCAGCCUCCUGGGAUAACACUGACGUUCAUGCUCGAAAGCGUGGGUAGCAAACAGGAUUAGAUACCCUGGUAGUCCACGCCCUAAACGAUGUCAAUUAGCUGUUGGGCAACUUGAUUGCUUAGUAGCGUAGCUAACGCGUGAAAUUGACCGCCUGGGGAGUACGGUNGCAAGAUUA
rnacentral:rRNA from 1 species